CUGGACGCAACUGCAAUAACUGUAGUAGCACAACUUGGGGAGUCAAUUGUUCAAGAUCUUGUUCUUGUUCUACUGGAGCAUUAAGAUGUGAUAAUGUUAGAGGAUGUAUUUGUAGACCUGGAUAUACAGGAGUUUUCUGUGAUGUGGAUGUGAACCAGUGUACCAAUGGGGAAUUACAGUGUAAUGACAGACAGGAUUGUGUGAGUCGUAUAGGUCCUGAUUCAUGUGUUUGCAAAUCUGGUUACAGACUUAAUGGCACAUUGUGUGAAGAUGUCAAUGAAUGUUUGGAUCCAAGGUUAAACACUUGUCAGCAGACAUGUCAGAACUCUGUUGGUAGCUACAGCUGUGGCUGUUAUAAAGGAUUUGCUUAUAAUGCAUCAACUAACACAUGUGAUGAUAUCAAUGAAUGUGCUCGACAAAUAGACAGAUGUACAAGUGUAUGUAUCAACACAUUGGGCAACUACAGGUGUUCAUGCACACCUGGCUAUGUCCUCAACAGAGAUGGAUAUACAUGUGAUGUGACCAGUGUGUGCACCAACAGUUCACUUUGUCAGUACCAGUGUAUUAAUGUCAAUGGCAAUGAAACUUGUUUCUGUCCUAAAGGACAAGCUUUAAACAGUGAUUUGAGAACCUGUAGAGGUUUUUUUUUUUUUUAAAUAUUUUCUGCAAAAUGAUUGAGGCUUAGGUUUAAAUAAUGUUUUACUAUUUUUGUUUCUAAUAUAUUUCUUUUUUCAUUUCAUAUUUAGUGAUGUCUUUAUAUAGAAAUUGUAUUAUUUGUAUCAGUUGUAGACUUGUGCAGCUCUAGUUCCUGUAGUGAUCUGUGCAGUGAAACACCUGACAAUACAAGUGUUAUAUGUUCCUGCCCUCCUGGUAAAUCUUUGGCUGCCAAUGGAAUUAUUUGCCAGUCUUGCAGUGACAACUUCUAUGGUAAAGACUGUAGCCAACAGUGUAACUGUAACAUCUUUCAUUCAAAACAAACAAACAAACUUGUGACAAAACAAAUGGAACUUGUCUCUGUAACAAGGGAUGGACUGGUCCAACAUGUGAUGAUGAUGUAGAUGAGUGUACAAAUACCAGUAGCUGCAAUAGUCUGAAGAAUGAAAAGUGUGUUAACACACCAGGAAGUUAUUCAUGUUCAUGCCAAACUGGGUAUUACAGACCAAUUGCAACACAAGACUGCACAGGUCUGAUAUUCUGAAAUAAAUUUCCGUAUCUCCACCUUAAAUUUUACUAGUGGAGUUUUUGUAGCUGCCAGAGUGGAUCUAGGUGGAUGUGAUGCCUUUAAAGAUCAAGGCAUUAUUUAUAUAUACUUCAAAGUGGCAUGUAUGAACUUAAGGAAUGAUUUUGGGUUCAAGUGCACUUGGAGCUCUGGAUGGAGUUAUAUUUAUUCAAUGCAACUAUUCCCACCUCUCCAGUAUCUGGCUUAGCAGCUAUUGGCACAGACAGCUAUGGCUUGGCUCAUUUUCAUAAUCUUGUAUUAGAUUCAGUGACAAGUGGCUUGAAAAUUAUGCAAUGCUUGUAAAAUAGUAACAUAAUUAGUAUAGCUUAAUUUAUUUCUAUCAAAGUCUCACUUUUAAAUCUUUGUACAGUCACUGCCAAGCUCUACAAUUUUUUUAUGGAAAUUGAUUAGGUUUUAUAAAAUUCUAAAUAUUGACUGGUUAAAAUUUUGAAUACUUUUUUACAGCCCAACACAAUUAAAUAGCAAUUGAGAUCUCACCUACAUCUGUUUGUAAAAUGUUUUACAUGUUUCGGAUUUUCCUUCAGAGUUGAAGAUAGUUUACUUCCUAGUCCAAACCUCCCGCAGGACGACGGGGGAUGGGAGCGGGCAGGGUUUGAACCCUCGACCGUCGAUAAAUCCGAACGACAGUCCAGCACGCAAACCUCACGACCAGGCAGCCAUCCUAACACCUAACUUAACUUAGGCCUGUAAGAAUUAAAGCUAACAUGAAUGAAAAUCUGGGAGAGAAGUAAUGUGACACAUGAAAAUUGUAUGUUGAUUUUUUUAUGAUGGUUUUGUCAAUACUUUAAAAAUAUUUAACAAUUUAUUCUUAUGAAAUCUAAUACAACUAGGUUUGGCUGUAGUUAGUUUUGUUAAAAGGUAUUAAGAACAUUCCAUUCUGUAUAUAUUAAACGUUUUUCUAAUGUAAUUGCAUUCAGUGAUUAUCAAUAUUUAAACAUAUAUACUAGUGUUUUGUAAUCAGUGAUUUUCAUUUUCUGGUAUCAGUUUGUUCCCAUUUAGAUUGCAAUCUUUCCAAAUGUGAAAACAAGGUGUCUGCAUAAUCUUUGAGGCCAUUUUUAAAAUCACUUAAAUUUAUUUAUUUGUUUCUAUUUAAUAAUUUGAUUGCCGGGGAACAAAAGAUUAUUUGUGUUGUUUGUCUUUACUAUUGGUGUCUUGUAUCUCUUUUGUGAUGGUAAAGUCACAAAAUGUAGGAAACAUCACUGUGUUUGGUCCAGUGUUCCUAUAUGCAAGUCUAUUGUAUUUUCUUUAUUAUUUUACAAUUGUAAAAAAAAUUAAUAAAAUUGUUGCACUGUUGAUGUUUUCAAAUUAACAUUUUUAUUUAUUUAUGCUUACAUAUCUGUUGUGUUUUAGUUAGUUCAUAAAUAUAGAUUCUUAAAUUAAAUUGUUUCUUUCCGCACUUAUAAACUAUGAUCAUCUGUAAGCCUAUUUUUACUUUUUUUUUAACUUUAAUGUUCUACUUGGAUAUGUCACAGAAAUCAUUACAUUUCUUUUUUUUGAAACCAC